AUGUCUCUCACCACUCUGUUUCUGUUACUGACAGCUGCACCCUAUGUGCAAUGUGCUGUUGACUUCACCCAACCAAGCUCAAUGGUCUUCAAGCCUGGAGAUUCUAUGACUAUUAGCUGUAAGGUGUCUGGUUACUCUCUUACGAGUAACAGCUACGCAACAGCGUGGAUCCGACAGCCUGCUGGGAAAACACUGGAGUGGAUAGUGCACAUAUGGGGGGGUGGUUCUAUCACUCAAAAAGAGUCCCUGAAGAGCAAGUUCAGCAUCUCUAAAGAUCCCUCCAGCAGCUCAGUAACUCUAACAGGGCAGAAUCUACAGACUGAAGACUCAGCUGUCUAUUACUGUGCAAGAUAUCACUGUGACACCAACCAGUAG